UUUUUUACAUAUUAUAUUUGUAGCCAAGUUAAAUUUUCAGGCUGCUGCCGGUACCGACAACAGGCCGGCGACGUUCCAUCAAAUUUGAAGCGUUUAGUUCAGUCGCUAAGUUGCCGUUGGAGUUGGACUGCUACAAGUCUAUAACAGAGCAAGAAGAGCAGAAACUGAAAGCCAGUAUACGAAGAUGGGGACCCGGGAGGUGUACGAGCAGAAAUUAAGGACCGGGAAUCUGCAUCACGAUCCUACCAUCAACCCUGGCCUCGGUUCCCCUCGCUGCCCUCGCUGCCUCUCUCUCUUAAUCCCUAAUUCUAUAUGUUUUUCUUCUUUAAUUUCCAUCUCUCUCUCCCCCUGCGCAUCAUGAUUUUAAUUCUCUGAUUUUUUCCUUCUAUUUUUCCAGGGAAAGGGAGAAUGGGCUAUUACUUCUGUUUUACAUGAUGCCACUGCCGUGGCUGGGUCUGGUAUUGCUGGAAUGCUUAGCGCUGUUCAUGGUUUUAAUAUAGGGAUUCCAUUCCUUCAAAAUCGUCUCAAGGGGCCAAAAUGGAUGCCUUUUGUAGUUGGGCUUCCUCCCCUGUUAGUGGUUUCAAGUGUAAGUGCUGCAUUUGGAGGUAAGAGUUGAGUCUCUCGAUUAUUCUGAUUAAAGUAGUGCAAUGUCAUUCUUGGCAUGCAAUGUAUGUAUGACAGGGUUUUAUCUUGAUUUCUCUCUUGUGUGAUUAAAAAUAGUACGAUGCCAUUCUUGGCAUGACAGGUUUUAUCUUGAUUUUACAAGUAGCUUUUUGUCUUGUUGCUCAUUCUAAGCUUUGGAAACCUUGUUUAAAGGUGCUACCAACUAUGGCCUCUUUUUUAUUCAGGGAGAGAAUUGAAGUCCAUGAUAUGCACUACGACCUAAAUAUGUUUUGGAACUAUUUCAAGCAUUUUCAACUUAAAUUUUCUUUUUUCCAUCCAUCUUUGGGUUGGUAUGGUUUAUUGUGUAGGGUGAGUGAGCCUGUACUGUUUAUGAUUCUUAGGUCGCAAAAAGCACCCCAUAUCAUGUGGUCAUUGAAAAAAAAGUAAUAUGGUGGAUCAGUGUUAUUAAGGUGCCAAAAGGCAUUAGGCAAGGCGAGCGCCUUUCUUCGUCUGGCUCAAGGUGCGAGGCGAGGCGAUAUGUUGCCACUUGAAAAUAACAUGCAUGGCUUUUUUCUUUUUAAAGACUAAAUCCUAAUACAUAUUUCAUUUUGAAGCAGCUGAUUGGAGAGCUAAUGUGUAUAUAUAUAUUACUAAUUAGGAAAAAAAUAAUAUAAUAUCUACAUAAUUGACUUCCAAUAUUUAAGUAUAUUCCAAUAUUGAAAAAUAUUACAUAUUUACAUAUUCAACUUAACUAAUUAGGAAUUAUAUCUUUAUAAUUAUGCUAACUAAUUAAUUAAUUAAAAAAGAAUUAAUAUAAUAUCUAUACAUAUAUGUAUAUCACUGUAUAUACAAUGUAUUACACAUAUUAUAUGAUAUAUAUAAGUAUGGUGCCUUACUUUAAAGCCUCUCGCUUAAGGCGAUAGGGGACCUGUCACCUUUCGCCUUGAUAAUAUUGUAGUGAUGUAGUUCAGCAAUUUUGAAAAAGUAAUAUUUAUUUCUUUCUGGAUUAGAUUUAGAAUGUGAUUUUGGGAACUAUUGCUGUGUUGUAUUUCUCCAAGUUCCUGGAAGAAAGCUAAUAUAUGUAUCCGUAUUUGUAAUAUGACCUUAACUUACUAUAUCCUUGCAAAAUGACCUUGCCUUUUAGAGUUUCAAUGAUUUUCUCACUGCUAAAUGUUAGACUUCAGCCGUUAGUUUGGUAGUGAAUGAGGAAAUUUGACAUUCUUUGGUGAUAUAGUUUUCCUUAGUCUUUUCUCCCCUCAUUCUGAGAGUACAGAGCUGGACAUAGUUCUUGCUUCUUAGGGAACACAAGACUUUUAUGAUAUCUUGGAUAGGAGGUGGGAUGUGAGGGCCUUUUUGAAGUGAGGUACCAUAGUCAAUAUAUAUAUAGAUGUAAAUUGGCAAUUGUCUGCUGCUUGAAGGAGAUGGAGAGAGAUUACGAGUUUAUCCUUUGCCGUUUAAAAGCAUUAGAAAAAAAAACCUAUUGUUGCUUCAGUUGGGUGUUGCCUGUGGUGCCUCCCUUCACGCCUAGUGCCUCAGUGGUCUGAGGCAGCGCCUCUAUGCAUAGAGCCUUACCUUAGUCAACCGAGGUGAGCCUGGUUUUAAAUAAUGGCCGUUAGGUAUGUGUGCAAAUGUGCACUAACGGAAUGACUAAUUUUUCUCAUGGUUUAUUUAUUUUCUAAUUCAUUUCAAUUCAGUUUCUAUAUUGUGUGCAAAUGUGCACUUAUAGGGCGUUAUAGCAGUAUUAUUGGUAUGUGAGAGUGGUAGCAGCUGUGGGUCUCAACUUCCAAACUAUUGACACCAUACUGGUCUACUAGUAUCAAUUUUGUCCUAUCCUCUCCAAGCCCGGUGAGUCAAACGCCUUGUGAAUCUGGAUGGCCUGUUAGCAGACUUCACCCUUCAGUGAUUCCCGACAAAGGUGGGCACUGAUCCUCAGACGGCAAUGUAUGUAGGCCGGGCUUCCUCUACCCUGGGCGAGGCCGGACUUCCUCUACCUUGAGCGGGGCCGGACUCAAGAGGAGAAUAAUGGCCCAAAGGCCAUCAAACCCUCCUUAGGCUUACCAACUCAGCAUCUCGGGUCUCGACCCAGACACGCCGGGCUGGAUGGGUUACCCGUGAGCCCAGAUUCAGCAGGAAGAAGUCCAGCCUGGUGAUGUGAUGUGAAGAAGUAGGGGAGCAGGCCCAGUCACCUCACAGUCCUGCCCGCAUGCGCGCCGGGAAAAAUUAAAUGAAUGCCUGGCAUGGAGAGGAACCUUGACACAUCCGUACGUACGGAGCUGAGUGACAGAGACUAGCAUUGUAAGUAGAUAUACAUCACGAGCAGAGCAAAAGGGGGUCCUUCCUUCUUUCUUCUUGUUCGGCUCCAUAUUUUUUACUAUUAUUCUUUUCUGCAACUCUUGUCUAUCCAUACUACACUAGUUCAUGAGCCACUUGAACGUCGUAGGGUCUCCACCAGGGCAUUCCGGUAGAUCCCUGACCAUCUUUCCUUAUUUUGCAGUCCUUUCAUCAAAUCGAAUAUUGAGAGACCCAUAUGAUGGACCCACAUAAUGGACCAAGAAGAAAACCAGAUCUAUCAUGGAGUAAGAGGAAAAGAAAGAUUUAUCAAAUGGCGCUGCUUGUGGAAACAAAAGAGAUUUUUACUAUCUCUAAAGUUCAUAAAUUCACCCAUUGAAAUCCACGUGAAGGUAUGAAAGUUUAUACAAAAAGGAAACAGAGCUUUACAAUAACGUAGUUGAAAAGAAAGAUUAAUUAUGUUCAAGAAUAUUUUGAUAGUAUUUCAGAUAAUUUAUUUUAAUAUUUAUUGAUUUUUAUUACUACU